CAGUUCUACCCAAGCAAAUUUGUCCUCAUCACCGACAUACUUGAUACAUUUGGAAAGCUCGUGUAUGAGCGCAUCUUUUCCAUGUGUGUGGAUAACCGCAGUGUCUUACCAGAUCACUUUUCUCCAGAGAAUGCAAAUGACACGGCCAAGGAAACAUGCCUAAAUUGGUUUUUCAAGAUUGCCUCCAUCAGGGAACUCAUUCCAAGAUUUUACGUGGAGGCAUCCAUCCUGAAAUGUAACAAAUUCCUCUCCAAAACGGGAAUUUCAGAGUGCCUGCCCCGGUUGACAUGCAUGAUCAGAGGGAUCGGAGACCCGCUGGUGUCGGUUUAUGCCCGUGCCUACCUGUGCCGGGUAGGCCAUGCGAGUCACGGCCCUUGACAGCACGGCUGCCGCCCGUCUCCUUGAAUGUUCACACAGGGCCCUCCUUCACCACCACCCCACAAGUCAUUGAGAGAAGGACUUUAUUAGCGGCUAAUUUU
rnacentral:sRNA from 1 species